rnacentral:tRNA from 1 species
CGGGAUAUGGCGCAGCUUGGUAGCGCACCUGCUUUGGGAGCAGGGGGUCGCAGGUUCAAAUCCUGUUAUCCCGA